rnacentral:rRNA from 1 species
GCUCCUACGGGGCGCAGCAGUGGGGGAUAUUGCACAAUGGGGGAAACCCUGAUGCAGCGACGCCGCGUGGGCGAAGAAGUAUUUCGGUAUGUAAAGCCCUAUCAGCAGGGAAGAAGAAAUGACGGUACCUGAGUAAGAAGCACCGGCUAAAUACGUGCCAGCAGCCGCGGUAAUACGGAGGAUCCGAGCGUUAUCCGGAUUCAUUGGGUUUAAAGGGUGCGUAGGUUGUUUUAUAAGUUAGCGGUGAAAUACCGAUGCUCAACAUCGGGGCUGCCGCUAAUACUGUAGGACUAGAGAUCGGAUGC